AUUACUUGUCUUUUUGAGUUUUUGUUUGUCAAUGUUUGAUCAUUCGUCUUAUUUAAAAAUUUUUGGAAUUAUUAUUUAUUUUGUUUGUCAAUUGCUUUAUUAUCAAAACUACUUUACAUACGACUUAUAUUUUUUUAUAUUUGCACUAAUUUUUCAAAUAAAACGAAUGGUCAAACGUUGCAAAUAAAAAAUCAAAAAGUCACCUAUU
rnacentral:pre_miRNA from 1 species